CUAACACAUGCAAGUCGAGCGGUAGCACAGAGAGCUUGCUCUCGGGUGACGAGCGGCGGACGGGUGAGUAAUGUCUGGGAAACUGCCUGAUGGAGGGGGAUAACUACUGGAAACGGUAGCUAAUACCGCAUAAUGUCGCAAGACCAAAGUGGGGGACCUUCGGGCCUCAUGCCAUCAGAUGUGCCCAGAUGGGAUUAGCUAGUAGGUGGGGUAACGGCUCACCUAGGCGACGAUCCCUAGCUGGUCUGAGAGGAUGACCAGCCACACUGGAACUGAGACACGGUCCAGACUCCUACGGGAGGCAGCAGUGGGGAAUAUUGCACAAUGGGCGCAAGCCUGAUGCAGCCAUGCCGCGUGUGUGAAGAAGGCCUUCGGGUUGUAAAGCACUUUCAGCGGGGAGGAAGGCGGUGAGGUUAAUAACCUCAUCGAUUGACGUUACCCGCAGAAGAAGCACCGGCUAACUCCGUGCCAGCAGCCGCGGUAAUACGGAGGGUGCAAGCGUUAAUCGGAAUUACUGGGCGUAAAGCGCACGCAGGCGGUCUGUCAAGUCGGAUGUGAAAUCCCCGGGCUCAACCUGGGAACUGCAUUCGAAACUGGCAGGCUAGAGUCUUGUAGAGGGGGGUAGAAUUCCAGGUGUAGCGGUGAAAUGCGUAGAGAUCUGGAGGAAUACCGGUGGCGAAGGCGGCCCCCUGGACAAAGACUGACGCUCAGGUGCGAAAGCGUGGGGAGCAAACAGGAUUAGAUACCCUGGUAGUCCACGCUGUAAACGAUGUCGAUUUGGAGGUUGUGCCCUUGAGGCGUGGCUUCCGGAGCUAACGCGUUAAAUCGACCGCCUGGGAGUACGGCCGCAAGGUUAAAACUCAAAUGAAUUGACGGGGGCCCGCACAAGCGGUGGAGCAUAUGGUUUAAUUCGAUGCAACGCGAAGAACCUUACCUGGUCUUGACAUCCACAGAACUUUCCAGAGAUGGAUUGGUGCCUUCGGGAACUGUGAGACAGGUGCUGCAUGGCUGUCGUCAGCUCGUGUUGUGAAAUGUUGGGUUAAGUCCCGCAACGAGCGCAACCCUUAUCCUUUGUUGCCAGCGGUUAGGCCGGGAACUCAAAGGAGACUGCCAGUGAUAAACUGGAGGAAGGUGGGGAUGACGUCAAGUCAUCAUGGCCCUUACGACCAGGGCUACACACGUGCUACAAUGGCAUAUACAAAGAGAAGCGACCUCGCGAGAGCAAGCGGACCUCAUAAAGUAUGUCGUAGUCCGGAUUGGAGUCUGCAACUCGACUCCAUGAAGUCGGAAUCGCUAGUAAUCGUAGAUCAGAAUGCUACGGUGAAUACGUUCCCGGGCCUUGUACACACCGCCCGUCACACCAUGGGAGUGGGUUGCAAAAGAAGUAGGUAGCUUAACCUUCGGGAGGGCGCUUACCA
rnacentral:rRNA from 1 species